UACGAAGGGGGCUAGCGUUGCUCGGAAUCACUGGGCGUAAAGGGUGCGUAGGCGGGUCUUUAAGUCAGGGGUGAAAUCCUGGAGCUCAACUCCAGAACUGCCUUUGAUACUGAGGAUCUUGAGUUCGGGAGAGGUGAGUGGAACUGCGAGUGUAGAGGUGAAAUUCGUAGAUAUUCGCAAGAACACCAGUGGCGAAGGCGAC
rnacentral:rRNA from 1 species